UGAAAUUUGGCACUGCAAAACAGGAUGCAGAUCACAGGGAUUUGACCAUUAGUAGCUUGUUUUGCAACAUUAACACCAAAUCAGUCGAAGAUCUUAGAGAAAGAGGUAUUGCAGAUCUGAAGUCUGGAAAAAUUGUCACCCCUCUACCUCCAAAACAGACCUUUUAGGAUGAUCCCCUAAGAGUUCUCGAGCUAUUCAUUUU